rnacentral:rRNA from 1 species
GACGAACGCUGGCGGCGUGCUUAACACAUGCAAGUCGAACGGAAAGGCCCAGCUUGCUGGGUACUCGAGUGGCGAACGGGUGAGUAACACGUGGGUGAUCUGCCCUGCACUCUGGGAUAAGCCUGGGAAACUGGGUCUAAUACCGGAUAUGACCGACUGUCGCAUGGUGGUUGGUGGAAAGCUUUUGCGGUGUGGGAUGGGCCCGCGGCCUAUCAGCUUGUUGGUGGGGUAAUGGCCUACCAAGGCGACGACGGGUAGCCGACCUGAGAGGGUGAUCGGCCACACUGGGACUGAGACACGGCCCAGACUCCUACGGGAGGCAGCAGUGGGGAAUAUUGCACAAUGGGCGCAAGCCUGAUGCAGCGACGCCGCGUGAGGGAUGACGGCCUUCGGGUUGUAAACCUCUUUCACCAGGGACGAAGCGUGAGUGACGGUACCUAGAGAAGAAGCACCGGCCAACUACGUG